rnacentral:misc_RNA from 1 species
CAGUGGAAGACAGGUGCUAGAGGAAAAGCAGCAGAAGAAGAAGGUACAGCGUAGGAGCUACAGCUGAACUUCGAAAGUCGACAAAGGGAAGAAUGCUAGAUAUAUGGUGGAGAAGGAUAUAUAACAUCUCUUUAAAAAAACCCUAAUCUCUGUAUUACAAAGCUACAAACAUCACCCAGGCGAACUUCCUACAUCAAGGAUACAACUUCUGUUUGCAAAAUCCAAUCAAGACAAGUCAUGCUUUCCCGCAAAAACUAGUUGGGAAGGCAGCCAAGACUUGUAUCUUCUUUUUUAGUAUAAUUGGCUCUAACUAGUAUUCGAACUCAAUAACUCAACCAUGGGCAAAGCUCAUUGGGCAAGACUCGAGACGUAUAUUCUGCUGCUAAUUCUCUAAUUAAUUACACUGGACUGAAGCCUGUAUGUAUCUACUCAAGUCUCUACUCAAUCAUGUACAACAACUUGGUUCUAAAGGUACAACAUGUAUGACAAAUCCAGAAAAGCAUUGAGCACAGCUACUCGAGUACCGUCCUUCUGAUUAAAUGGUUUACUUGGCCUUUUCUCUUCGAUCUUGAGGCCUUCUGAUUAAACGGUUGCUUUUCAGUGGGCUUCACAAGCAGCAAGCGUGACAUCACAUAGGCUAGAAGUUCUUCAUGGUGAGAGAAUGUGAAGUCCAAGUGAGCAUAUUCAAACUCUUUAUAUGAUACAUCAACACCAGCAUCCUUCAUCAGCCUGUAAUGCACUUUUACCAUUGAAUUCCGAAUCACAUUGUCCUUCCUUCCAGCAACGAGAUCAACAGGAAUAUCAGUGAGCCCAUAAUAUUCACCCAAGUCCAGAGGCUCUGGAGAUCCAUAUGCUUUCAUGUUGGCGGAUGCACUUCCAUAAUCAUACAUUAUAAAUUUUUUUGCAUGUUUCAUUUGUGCAAGAUGGUGAGCUACAUAGAAUGAAAGUCCCGGCAUGUCAUUCAUGUUGUAGUGUGGUAAUCCUAAUACUCCUACCCAAUUUGAGCUGUCUCCACCGACAACAUAACUCAUUAGAGUUUGAACCAGCCCUCCGACUGCAGGGUAGUUAUGGAAGUCUCGAGCCAACUUGUUUAGCAACAUGCGGAAGAAUCUUGUGGGUAUGUACAAGCCAGGUAUAAUAGGUCCUAGAAUAGGGGCCAACAGAAGCAGCAGAUACUCCAUAGCUGUAAAUGCCAGAGUGGAGUCAUGAUGGAAACCAGCAGGUGACAAUAGAAUCAA